UACAGAGGGGGCAAGCGUUGUUCGGAAUUACUGGGCGUAAAGGGCGCGUAGGCGGCUUUGCAAGUCGGGUGUGAAAGCCCUCAGCUCAACUGAGGAAGUGCGCCCGAAACUGCAGAGCUUGAGUGCCGGAGAGGGUGGCGGAAUUCCCCAAGUAGAGGUGAAAUUCGUAGAUAUGGGGAGGAACACCGGUGGCGAAGGCGGCCACCUGGACGGUAACUGACGCCUGAGACGCGAAAGCGUGGGGAGCAAACAGG
rnacentral:rRNA from 1 species